AUUGAACGCUGGCGGCAGGCCUAACACAUGCAAGUCGAGCGGAUGAAGAGAGCUUGCUCUCUGAUUUAGCGGCGGACGGGUGAGUAAUGCCUAGGAAUCUGCCUGGUAGUGGGGGAUAACGUUCCGAAAGGAACGCUAAUACCGCAUACGUCCUACGGGAGAAAGCAGGGGACCUUCGGGCCUUGCGCUAUCAGAUGAGCCUAGGUCGGAUUAGCUAGUUGGUGAGGUAAUGGCUCACCAAGGCUACGAUCCGUAACUGGUCUGAGAGGAUGGUCAGUCACACUGGAACUGAGACACGGUCCAGGCUCCUACGGGAGGCAGCAGUGGGGAAUAUUGGACAAUGGGCGAAAGCCUGAUCCAGCCAUGCCGCGUGUGUGAAGAAGGUCUUCGGAUUGUAAAGCACUUUAAGUUGGGAGGAAGGGCAGUAAGUUAAUACCUUGCUGUUUUGACGUUACCGACAGAAUAAGCACCGGCUAACUUCGUGCCAGCAGCCGCAGUAAUAC
rnacentral:rRNA from 1 species